GCCGGCUGGAGAGGAAAGAAGACAACUACUUUAACCUCCCUUCUGUAGCUCGUUUUGGUAAACUAUGAUUUCCUGGAAGUUUUGUUGAGUCAACACAGAACUUCCUAUUAGAAACCAAUUUGUUGAAUCAAAAGAGAGUUCCUUAGGAGAGAAAGGAGCACUUUGAGCAUCUUCAUCUUCUGGCAAGUAAUGGCGGCACUAGAUGGGGCUUCCUCCACCUCCACCUCCACCUCCACCUCCACCUUCACCUUCACAACUGGAUGCUCCAGUUACGAUGUGUUCCUCAACUUCAGGGGCGAAGAUACUCGUAAUAAUUUCACUUCUUUCCUUAACUUAGGUCUGAAACAUAGAGGAAUCGAUGUGUUCAUUGAUAGUGAAAAGUUGUGGACUGGAGAAGCCAUUGGACCGGCCUUACUUAAAGCAAUCGAUACCUCCAAAAUCUCUAUCCCUGUCUUCUCCCAAGGCUAUGCCAACAGCAAAUGGUGCCUGCUGGAACUUGCUCAGAUUCUUGAGUGCCACGAAUCCAACCAUCAACUGGUCUUGCCCAUAUUCUUCCACGUUGAUCCGUCGCAUGUUCGGAAUCAAACCGGAAGUUUUGAAGAAGCAUUUCGAGAGCACGAGAAGAAUUUUGAGCCCCAUAUCAUAGAGAGUUGGAGGAAAGCUUUGAGAGUAGUAGGGAAUUUGAAAGGAGAAGUUAUUGACAAAAAUCAGGAUCAAGGAGAGAUAGUUGAAUUAGUUGUCAAAAGGGCUCUGGGUGAACUGAUCAGUAACAUGCACUUGGCUGAAUGUAAAUACCCAAUUGGCACAAAUUCUCAUGUAACAGAUCUAUUAUCUUUAUUAAAUAUUGGUUCCAAUGAUGUUCAAUUCAUAGGAAUCUGUGGCUGUGGUGGCAUUGGGAAGACAACCAUUGCAAAGGCUAUCUAUAAUCGCAUCCUUUCAACCUUCAAUAGGAAUUGUUUUAUUUCAGAUGUCAGGGAACAAGCAAUGCAAUGCAUGGGUCUAGCGACUUUGCAGAUGCGACUUCUUAAAGAUAUCUUCAAAACAGACUUUGAUAUAGGUCAUUAUGAUAGAGGGAAAAAAUUGAUAAAAUGUCAACUUUGCAAAGAAAAUGUUCUUCUCGUUCUUGAUGAUGUGGAUAGUAAAGAGCAGAUAGAUGCUUUGGCCGGUGAACUCAAUUGGUUUGGUGAAGGAAGUAGAGUCAUAAUAACAACCAGAAUUGAACAUAUCUUGAAUGUGGCUAAAGUUCAUAAAGAUAGAAUCUAUUGGCCUCAAGAACUAAACCACAAGGAGUCUCUUCAACUAUUUAGUUUGCAUGCCUUUUCAAUGGAUCAACCUCCUCAAGAUUAUAUGCAGCUUUCACUUAAUGUGGUACACUAUUCGGGAGGGUUGCCUUUAAUUCUUGAGGUGUUGGGGUCAUACCUUUCGGACAUAAGCAAAAUAGAAGUUUGGAAAAGCACAAUGCAAAAAUUGAAUGCAGGUAAGGCUUCAAUCUCCAGUCUCAUAUCUUCAUGUACACAGAGAGAGAAUACAUAUCCUAGGAAAGAAAAUCCACCUGGUUUGCGCCCACUAUUUCAUGGAACCAUUGGAAACAACAUCAAUUCUGCUUUGGUAUCUAAAUUCACCAAAGAUUAUCUGAAUCCAAAUGGCUCCACAACUACUGUUAGAGUUGGUAGUCAGUUCACAAUAGCAAAGAUACGGGCUGCAUUAUCUAAAUUCACCAGAUCUGCUCUACAAGGAUGCUGUAAAUUUGAAUCUAAAUCUGAAUCCUAUCAGAAUCCAAAUGACUCCACAACUAUUGAUAGAAUGGGUAAGCAGUUCAGAAAAACAGAGAUCCUAGCUGCAACAAAGAAUUUUGGUGAAUCAUCGGUGUUAGGAAGUGGUGGCUUUGGUAGAGUUUUCACGGGUGUAAUCGAUGAUGGCACUCAGGUAGCAAUCAAGCGUACCAAUGACCUACAAGUGUUUAGGAAAGAGAUUGAAAUGCUAUCAAAGCUCAGGCAUAGACAUGUGGUUUCCCUUGUUGGAUUCUGUCAGGAAAUGAAUGAGAUGAUUUUGGUGUAUGAGUAUUUGGGGAAUGGGACACUCUUUAGUCAUCUCUUCGGCCGUGGUCAUCGUCCACCGUUGACUUGGAAGCAGAGAUUAGAGAUUUGCAUAGGUGCUGCACGUGGGCUCCACUACAUCCACACAUGGCCAGGGAAUCCUAUAAUCCAUGGGGAUGUUAAGACAUCCAACAUAAUAUUGGAUGAGAACUUUUUAGCAAAGAUAGAUGAUUUUGAGGCAUCAAAAGCAUUUCCUGUAUUUAAUGAUUUGGUAGAGGGAACCCUUGGAUAUAUUGAUCCAGACUACUUGCAAAGCAGGCAAGCGACUGUAAAGAUUGAUGUUUACUCUUUUGGGGUAGUAUUGUUUGAGGUUGUUUGUGCACGACCAGUUUUGGAUCCAAGCUUGCCAGAAGAUGAGAUCAACCUUAUAAGAUGGGCACUUGAGUGGCAAAGACAAGGAUCACUUGAAACCAUUGUGGACCCACGGCUUGAACGGAAUUACUCUCCAGAAUCAUUGAAGAAAUUUGGGGAGAUAGCAGAGAAAUGCGUUGCCGAUGAGGGUAAGAACCGACCCACGAUGGGGGAAGUGUUGUGGGAUUUGGAGUAUGUCUUGAAGUUGCAUGAAGCUUGGUUAAUAUGAAAUUCUGGGGAACAAGCCACCAGCUCCUCGUUCACUGCUAUAGUUGGGUCUGACAAAAUCUCUGGGCUAGUAAACCUUCAAGCCGUGUGGGAAUGAGACAAUUUCAAUCACUGGAUUCAGAUAUGAAAGGAUGGUGAAGCGGAGGCGCUAGGACUUCUAAGGGGGCUGGAGCGAGCUAAGGAUAACAAGUGGUCGAUAGAAGUCAUAUGGAGCAAUGCGGAGAUCAUCAAGAAGCUUUUUUAAAAGGAAUUUAACAAACCUUUAUCAUUACGGCCAAGAACCUUAAUCGUACUUACAUAUGAGAUGGACAAGUUAUAAUAGUCAUUUUAGGUUUGGUAUGUUAGAAACUAGUGGUAUAUUAGAGUACCUUAAGAAGUUAGCUCAUGAGGCCCUCUCAGGGAGAAAGCUAAUAUUUAAAGCAAACUUCAAAUGUAAUCUUGCUGUCUAAUUUUAUCUCUCUGUUUGGUUUCGCUGAUAAAAAAAAAAAAAAAAAAGUUGGUGAAGGAUCUUCUUGAUACUGCCUAAUAAGUUCUCUCCAAAUUGUAACCCUUUUUAUUUUCCCAACUCAUAUUGAUGUUAACUAAAACUCUC